CGCAUAUUGCGCCCCCCGGUACUCCGAGGGGCAUGCCUGUUCGAGCGUCAUUGCACCCCUCAAGCCUGGCUUGGUAUUAGGUUUCGUCUCCGGACGGGCCGGAAAAGCGUUGGCGGUUCGGCGUUGACUUCGAGCGUAGUAAAGUUGUUCCCGCUUCGAGGAUCACACGGCGACCGCCGGAAGCGAGUCUAUAUCAAUGAUUGACCUCGGAUCAGGUAGGGAUACCCGCUGAACUUAA
rnacentral:misc_RNA from 1 species